GGAAUCCAGCACUAAUGAGGCUGCACAGCUGCUGACUUGUGUGAAUUCCCUGCUACCUUUGGGAAGGGAAGUACCAGCCCUUUGCGACGCAAGUAGGCUGCGUGACCAUCUUUUCUGAAGAGAGCUGCUCCACUUAGCUCCAUGGACAGCUGCAGUCCUCCGUGGUUUGAGGUUCCCAGCUCUGGUCACCACCUGGGCACUGCUAAGCAGGGGGUGACGUUGCAGCAAGACCCAGAUACGGCCUGUUGGACUGUGCCUGCCCUCGUCUUGGACGGGACAUUGUGCUCAAGAAAGUGAGGCUUAACCUGAAGUACCUGUCAGCAGUGUUGGACGUAGAGCACGCUACACCUGCUCCUGCAGCUUCCUGGGCAGUGACCAGCCGCAAGCCAGUGCUGGUAGACAGACUGUAACGUCAUGUGGCCAGGUAAACACUGGAGUCAUUUGCGGAGAGCGACGCUGCCUGUCUCGGUUGAAAGAAGCAGAAAGUGGCUGUGAGGAGGC